rnacentral:rRNA from 1 species
GACGAACGCUGGCGGCGUGCUUAACACAUGCAAGUCGAGCGGUAAGGCCCUUCGGGUACACGAGCGGCGAACGGGUGAGUAACACGUGGGUGACCUGCCUCUAGCUCUGGGAUAAGCCUGGGAAACUGGGUCUAAUACCGGAUAUGACUCCACGGCGCAUGUUGUGGGGUGGAAAGCCUUGUGUGGCUAGAGAUGGGCCCGCGGCCUAUCAGCUUGUUGUGGGGUGAUGGCCUACCAAGGCGACGACGGGUAGCCGGCCUGAGAGGGCGACCGGCCACACUGGGACUGAGACACGGCCCAGACUCCUACGGGAGGCAGCAGUGGGGAAUCUUGCGCAAUGGGCGAAAGCCUGACGCAGCGACGCCGCGUGAGGGAUGACGGCCU